rnacentral:misc_RNA from 1 species
AUAUAUCAAAUCUCAUAAGCUUCUGCUUGUCGAGUGUUUGGAUGUUGGGGGUAUCAUUUGCUGGCCUGGUUCAGCUCCCCUGAAAUGCAUUAGCGGAACAAUUUGUUGAUCGUUCAUUGGUGUGAUAACUAUCUACGCUAUUGACGUGAAGGCAGGGUUCAGCUUCUAACUAACUGUCCAUUGACUUGGACAAGUCCUUCAUUA